GAGUAACAACAACGACUCUCGGCAACGGAUAUCUCGGCUCUCGCAUCGAUGAAGAACGUAGCGAAAUGCGAUACUUGGUGUGAAUUGCAGAAUCCCGUGAACCAUCGAGUCUUUGAACGCAAGUUGCGCCUGAGGCCACCCGGCCGAAGGGCACGUCUGCCUGGGUGUCACGC
rnacentral:rRNA from 1 species